rnacentral:rRNA from 1 species
CCCUUAGAUGUUCUGGGCUGCACGCGCGCUACACUGAUGCGUUCAACGAGCCUUCCUUGCUCGAGAGAGCUGGGUAAUCUUCAUGAAAACGCAUCGUGAUGGGGAUAGGCGCUUGUAAUUAUUCGCCUUGAACGAGGAAUUCCUAGUAAACGCAGAUCAUCAAUCUGCAUUGAUUACGUCCCUGCCCUUUGUACACACCGCCCGUCGCGCCUACCGAUUGGAUGGUCCGGUGAAGCCUCGGGAUUGUGGUUCUUGCCGCUUUAUUGUGGCGUGACCGCGAGAACUUGUCUAAACCUUAUCAUCUAGAGGAAGGUGAAGUCGUAACA